GAUGAACGCUGGCGGCGUGCCUAAUACAUGCAAGUCGAGCGAACGGACGAGAAGCUUGCUUCUCUGAUGUUAGCGGCGGGCGGGUGAGUAACACGUGGAUAACCUACCUAUAAGACUGGGAUAACUUCGGGAAACCGGCGCUAAUACCGGAGAAUAUUUUGAACCGCAUGGGUCAAAAGUGAAAGACGGUCUUUCUGUCACUUAUAGAUGGAUCCGCGCUUCAUUGGCUAGUUGGUAAGGUAACGGCUUACCAAGGGAACGAUGCAUAGCCGACCUGAGAGAGGGAUAGGCCACACGGGAACGGAGACAGCGUCCAGACUCCUACGGGAGGGAGCAGUCGGGAAUCUUCCGCAGCGGGCGAAAGCCUGACGCAGCAGCGCCGCGUGAGAUAUGAAGGUCUUCCGAUCGUAAAACUCUGUUAUGAGGGAAGAACAUAUGUGUCAGUAAAUGUGCACAUAGUGACGGUACCUAAUAAGAAAGCCACGGCUAACUACGUG
rnacentral:rRNA from 1 species